GUCCUAGCGGUCUGGUUGAGUAGGGAGAGAGAAGCGGUCCUAUUCCUGGUGCGCACCACAGAAAAGCGCCCUCUUUCCACCUCCUGGCGUGCCUCCAUAUUGUUAGGGAGGAGGAGAAGAAACGCUGGGCGCGGAAUAAAAAAUGGGGCGGGGCUUCGGAGAGCAACGGUUUGAAAGUGUGCGUCAGGAUUUGGGCGCCAAAUGAUUUGUGUUCCUAUGUACUCAACCCUACUGCUGUUGGAGGUGAUUAAUAUUGUUCGUCUACUUUCUGCAGAAGAAGCUGGGUCUUGAAAAAGAAGAAAUAAUGUGUCCAAGACAUUGGUUAUUUACAUCUAUUGUAUCUGUUUGGGGCAAAUCACAUACAAUGAUGGCUACUGUGAAUUUCCGCCCAAUACCCUUGUUCAGUGAUAUCAAGUUGGUAGCUUGGAAUCAGCCAUGAUGCAGAGUAUUUACACAUGGAAAUCAGCAAACACUACAAAUAAGGCAUUUUUUUUGGAGAGCUGGUUGUUAAACAUUUAUCAGUAAACUAGUAGAUCAUUGUUCAUAGUAUUUUUAGGAUUACUCAUCCUGAAAUAAAUGUGAAUUAUAUGUUAUUUAAUGUGUAGUAUGUAUUAAAAUGUAUGUAUGUCAAAUAUGUAAAUAUAAAAUCAAAAUAGCAUGUUUGGCCCUAAGUUCUCAAAACAUGUUAGCAGUUACUAUUUCAGAGUUGUAUUUAUUUCAUUUUUGCAUCUGUAUUCUUUCCUCCCUUUCUCCUUCAGUUCUGUUUUCUUUCCUCUUCACUCUUUCCCUUCCCCAGUGUCCAAACCUCAAGCGGUGGGGCAUGGGGAAAUAAGAACUGGAAAUCAUUCCAGUUCCCGGUUUCCUCCUCGCCUCCAGUGACUUGACUUUGGCCCCCGUCUCCGCCAGAUCAGACUGCAUGUAUCUGAUUUAGCCUUUGGGGCCCCAGGCAUCAAACAGCGAGCCCGCCAAGUAGCAGCCCUCGGGAAUCCCUGCUCUGUGGAGCCACUUGAGGGAAGGCAGGGGAGAGGGUUGCAGAAGCUCUGCAGGACUCACCCUGGCAGACCUCCUCCUGCUCAUCCUAGCUUUCUUAUGACCCAUUUAGUUCUAGAAAGUCAAAGCUCCUUUAGAAACUGCUGUUUUUCAAAAAGUAAUGCCCCCCCCAGACCACUCCUGAGAUCCAUUAGAAAGGUUUUAGGAAAUGUUCUUGAGAGUAUAUUUGAUUAAAUGACUUUAAGCAGCUGUAAACAGUAGUUGACUAUUCUGUGAAAAAGUGUGCAAAUAUAAUGACUUACUACGAUUUUCAUUUGCCCCCAGUUCUGGAAGCUCUUCAUCUUUGCUCUUCUCUAUUUUAUAUCCCUCAUCAAGAGCUUUUCUGUGUAGUGACUGUUGUCAAACUGGCUCUGGUUUUGAGAAUCAGAUGCCCAUCCUGUUUGUCAAUUUAAUGGCCUGCUUUGAUUCAUUUUGUGAUUAGAAAUCCCUCUGCCCCAUGGCCUAAUUCAGUGUUCAUUAGCUUGCUUUUUAAUGAAGAACUUUGAGAUUUAGUUUUAUCAAGUCUUGGCUGUGCUCUAUUUUAAAUUUUAGGUUACCAUUUUGUCCUAAUUCAAACAAACUAACAGUAACACCUGAAUCUUGAGUUGCAGCUGAGCAUACAAAAAUACCGAUUUGCUAUGAUAUAGCUACCUAUAAUUAUAAUUUUAGUAAGCAGAGUUGUUUAUAGAUUCCAAAAUUUAGAACAAAAAAAGGGAUUUUUAUUUAUGACUUUUGCCACAAUCCCUAAUGAUCUUCCUAGUAUGCUUUAUGAUCAAAAUAGUUCAGAGAUCUAUAACUUUUUUAUUUAUGACAUUGGUGCUAAUUUAUCUAAAUAUAUAAACUUUUAUUUUCAAAUAAUGAUAGAUAAAAAAAUUAAAUUCUAGGAUAAGACCUCUCUUUUAAUUACUUAGUCCCUUAAAAAAUUUUUAAGUCAAAUACUUUCAUCUCAAUUCUGCUGCCCAAAUCAACUUAAAGAGGCUAUGGAUUGGCAUCAGCCCAUCACCUGGGCAAACUGGUUGCUUUUUGGGCUAAAGGUGGCUGUCUGCAGGGGUGAGCUAAUCAUAUAACACAGCCCUGGUAUUAUCCCAGCUGCAAAGCAGAUGGUGCAGUGAGCAGCGGGCAGCUGUGGGGGGCCUGCCCUGUGGUUUCAUCUGCUUACAAACCACAACACACUCUCCCUCUACAAGGGGCUUGAAAACAUUCCCUUCCCUCUCUGCCUCCCAAUCCCCAGUGGAGAUAUGAAAUAUAAAUUCCUUUGCCUAAUAAAAGAUAAUAGAAUAAUUUUCAGAAUGUUGAAAAAAAUUUCUUUGAGUUCAGGCAGAAGGGCUAAGAUCCCCCUGAAAAAUAGGUGUUGUAAUGUGUUUGAACGUUGGGCCAUCUGCUAGGCUAUGGGAACCUGCGGGGUGCAGCUGGCUGUGUGACACAUCAGGGUGUCACUAAUUAAUACAUCACAUGAAAAAUGUUAACACCAUAUUGUAGGAAAUGGUGCCCAGUCGUCAUGUGAAGCUAAAAUUUAAAAGAUAGAUCUAUAAGUGGUUUGUUCUGAUUGGUGUGGCCUAAUGUGAGAUUUAAACUGUGUCAUAUUUGGGAGUAUAAGUAAUAAGCUUUUCAUUCACUUAUUACUGAGAAUAGCUAUAAAGCCUGUCACUUUUCCUUUUAUACCAUGAAAAGCCAAUAAAUUAAUCUUUGAAAAUGUGAAAUAUCCUCCUCUAUUAAAUACAAUGCAAUCAAACAAUAUUCUACCCAAAAGCAUAUCUCCCAGUGUCUUGCCAAUGGGUUUC